UGCGAUGGUUCAGUGGUAGAACUUUUGCCUGCCGUGCAGCAGGCCGGGGGUUUGGUUCCCAGCCAAUGCAA